GCGGGCAUGGCGGAACUGGCAGACGCGCCGGAUUUAGGAUCCGGUUCUUUACAGAGUGCAGGUUCGAUUCCUGUUGCCCGUACCA
rnacentral:tRNA from 1 species